UACGGAGGGAGCUAGCGUUGUUCGGAAUUACUGGGCGUAAAGCGUACGUAGGCGGUUAUUCAAGUCAGAGGUGAAAGCCCGGGGCUCAACCCCGGAACUGCCUUUGAAACUAAGAUAGCUAGAAUCUUGGAGAGGUCGAGUGGAAUUCCGAGUGUAGAGGUGAAAUUCGUAGAUAUUCGGAAGAACACCAGUGGCGAAGGCGACUGACUGGACAAGUAUUGACGCUGAGGUACGAAAGCGUGGGGAGCGAACAGG
rnacentral:rRNA from 1 species